rnacentral:rRNA from 1 species
AUUGAACGCUGGCGGCAUGCUUUACACAUGCAAGUCGAACGGUAACAGGCCUUCGGGUGCUGACGAGUGGCGCACGGGUGAGUAAUGCAUCGGAACGUACCCAGAGGUGGGGGAUAACGCAGCGAAAGCUGUGCUAAUACCGCAUGUGAUCUGAGGAUGAAAGCGGGGGACCGAGCAGCAAUGUUUGGCCUCGCGCCUUUGGAGCGGCCGAUGUCGGAUUAGCUAGUUGGUGGGGUAAAGGCCUACCAAGGCGACGAUCCGUAGCUGGUCUGAGAGGACGACCGGCCACACUGGGACUGAGACACGGCCCAGACUCCUACGGGGGGCAGCAGUGGGGAAUUUUGGACAAUGGGCGCAAGCCUGAUCCAGCAAUGCCGCGUGCGGGAAGAAGGCCUUCGGGUUGUAAACCGCUUUUGGCAGGAACGAAACGGUGUCCGCUAAUACCGGGCGCUAAUGACGGUACCUGCAGAAUAAGCACCGGCUAACUACGUG